rnacentral:rRNA from 1 species
UCUAAGCACAAGCCCUUGAAUGGUGAAGCCGCGAAAAGCUCAUUACAACAGCCAUAGUUUAUUGGAUCUUUACCUUCUUACACGGAUAACUGCGGUAAUUCUGGAGCUACUACGUGCAUUAAACGACGACCUUACGGAAGUCGUGCAUUUGUUAGACCAAACCAAUCGGUCUUCGGACCGCCAUUUGGUGAACUCUGAAUAACUUUGCUGAUCGCACAGUCUCGUACUGGCGACAAAUCUUUCAAGUGUCUGCCUUAUCAACUUUCGAUGGUAGUUUAUACGCCUACCAUGGUUGUAACGGGUAACGGAGAAUAAGGGUUCGACUCCGGAGAGGGAGCCUGAGAAACGGCUACCACAUCCAAGGAAGGCAGCAGGCGCGCAAAUUACCCACUCGCAGAACGCGGAGGUAGUGACGAAAAAUAACGAGGUGGCUCUCUACGAGGUCCGCCAUCGGAAUGGGUACAAUUUAAAUCCUUUAACGAGGAUCUAUUGGAGGGCAAGUCUGGUGCCAGCAGCCGCGGUAAUUCCAGCUCCAAUAGCGUAUAUUAAAGUUGUUGCGGUUAAAAAGCUCGUAGUUGGAUCUGCGUUCGGUGAAAGCGGUCGCCCGACGGGUUGUACUGCUUCUCCCGAACUAAUCAUUCGGUUUUCCCUUGAUGCUCUUCAUUGAGUGUCCUGGGUGACCGGAACUUUUACUUUGAAAAAAUUAGAGUGCUCAAAGCAGGCGAUUCGCCCGAAUAUUCGUGCAUGGAAUAAUGAAAAAGGUCCUUGUAGCCUUUUAUUGGUUAUUGCUAUGAGGAAAUGAUCGAAGGGGACAGACGGGGGCAUUUGUAUUGCGACGUUAGAGGUGAAAUUCUUGGAUCGUCGCAAGACAAACUACUGCGAA